UGUGUAAGUUAAUGAUAGAGGUAUACACGCAUAGUAUAUUACAAUAUGAAAAUAAAUGAAAAGUACCUAUCAAAUAAUUGAAAUUUGCUUUUAGUAGAUUUAGUGAGCAGUACUAUAGGAACAUAAGAGCUUCGGUUCUCUGCCUUUAAAUUAUUAAUGCUAUGUUUUCUGUAAUGUAGGAGUUAUUAUUAAGCAUAUGAAUGGAACUUGUUGUGCCAACAAGCGCAAUAUAGUGCCUUCCUCGAGUAAUUUAGAUAGAAACUGACAGUGUCAUAUUAGAAACUUAGUUAAAUUUAGACGACUCUGAAAACGAUGACGACGAAAACUCUGGAAACGAAAACGAUGUUGAAAAGUAGUACAAUUGCAAAAAAACUAAAGACGAGAAAACAACGUUGUGAACCAGAAACAUAGAAGAGAAAUGUCAGAUAACAAAGUCAUCAGCCAGGAAAGAGUUAUGUUAGUUGCAGAGGGAAGCAAAUACCCUAAUAACACAUCAAAAGACCUCAAAAAUUGUACUAGCCCCAAGUCAAAAAGAAAUACAUCCCUGUUUUAGUAGAGCAAACAGAAAUGGUCGAGAAGCAUAUCAACAUCAUCGAGUCAGCCCAAAAUAUUAUUGAGCUAAAACGUUCAAGAAGUACUUAGAAUUUAAUUUAAACAUCAGCGAAAUGUUUGAGCUAUAUAAAGAUGAAUGCAAAUCUACUGGGAAAUAACCUGUAAAACUUUCCAUGUUUAUCUGUAUUUUCAAUAACGAAUUCAAUAUAACUUUCUAUUUCCCGAAAAGCGACAGAUGCAUUACUUGCAAGCUGUUAAAAAAAUCUAAUCUUUAGAGCAUUGACCAAUCAAAGUAUCAAGAACAAGUAUACGAAAAAAACUUUAUGAGGGUGAAAAAAAAAAAAAAGAUAAAAGUGGAGAUAUUAUUUUAGUAAUGUAAUAUUUUAUGGUUUUAUGCGUGGAAAUAUCUUCAGGCAGUACAUGGAACAACUAAGCAAGCGCUUUUAGAAUAAUAUUAGACAAAAAAGUUGAAGAAAAUGAUUUCACAGAACUAUUCAUUUGGAGUGACUUUAUUCAAAUGCAACCAAAUGGUUUCAAUGAUUUUAGCGAGUGUGUUAAAACCUUUAAUUAUAACAGAAUCAAACAUAUUCGAUAACAAAAUUAUGAAGAUCAGAAUUAUCAUAAAGCAAUUUUUAAAUAACAAAAAAUCAUUAUUAUUAAUUCUUAAUCUAAUAUUGUUAAAUAAAAUGUAUUUAUA